rnacentral:rRNA from 1 species
AUGUUGAUGCAAGACUACUUCGCGGACAAUCCAACAAAUCCGCCGCACCUCUUCCGGAGAAGGUACCGAAUGCGUCAAUCCCUCUUUGUAAAAAUAGUGCAAGCUUCCGAGGCUAAUUGUCGGUAUACUCAAAGAAGAAAUGUCGCGGGCUUGAAGGGAUUUAGUGCAUAUCAAAAAAUCUUGAAAGCUAUGCGGGUAACUGCGUACGCCAUUCCGGUUGACUAUGCCAAUGACUAUCUUCGCAUUGGUGAAGAUAGUAUAAUGGAGUCAGUGCGUAGGUUUGCCAAAGUGAUCAUCCGUGUCUUAGACCUGAAUAUUUUCGGGCACCCAACGGGGAAGACACAAAAAAUUUGA